GGUUAAGCGACUAAGCGUACACGGUGGAUGCCCUGGCAGUCAGAGGCGAUGAAGGACGUGCUAAUCUGCGAUAAGCGUCGGUAAGGUGAUAUGAACCGUUAUAACCGGCGAUUUCCGAAUGGGGAAACCCAGUGUGAUUCGUCACACUAUCAUUAACUGAAUCCAUAGGUUAAUGAGGCGAACCGGGGGAACUGAAACAUCUAAGUACCCCGAGGAAAAGAAAUCAACCGAGAUUCCCCCAGUAGCGGCGAGCGAACGGGGAGGAGCCCAGAGCCUGAAUCAG
rnacentral:rRNA from 1 species